AGCCCAGUACUGUCGACACAACGAAUCCAAUGGCAAUCUUGCUCGGACCAACUUGAUUUUCGUAUAAUUUUGGACACAUCCGGAUAAAAUGUUGCACAAAUCUACUCAAACGUUGCAAAACAUAGUGGCAGCCAGGUCUAUAUAUGAUGAGUUGUGAAGAGGUACAACUCCUUCAAAAAUCAAGUUGAUUAUGCGGAUACCGCAAACACUGCAAAUUCGGUUGUUCCCUACCCUUCUAGAGUAAUCUCUCCACACACACACUCACACGCUGCUGCCGGCUGCCCUCCUCCCGCCCCACUCGUCCCCUCCGAACCAAGUCCGAUCCAUCCAUCCCCAAAUUUCUCCUCUCAGCGCGUGGGGCAGUGGCGGCGGCAGCGUGGGCGCGCGGACCGCUACGGGCACGGGAGCAGCGGUGGCUGCGCAGGCAGCUGUCAGCAUGCGGCAUGGUGACUACGGGAGCCCAGGCGGCGCCGGUGCGGCUGCAGCCGGCGGCGGGCGACCGUGAGGCGGCUGCGGGAGCGGUGAAGUCCGGUGGCGCCUGCUUUGUUUUGUGUUCCUAUUUUUGAUUUGCGAAAGGAUCCAAGAGAGAGAGGAGGGGGAGAAGGCGAGAAUCCAAGACAAGAGCGAGCAUGGAGUUUGCUACGGGUGCCAUGGGUACCCUCCUCCCCAAGCUGGGCAUGCUGCUGCAGGAAGAACUCCACCUGAAGAAUAAUGUGAAGGAGGGGAUCAAGAGCCUCACUGCCGAGCUUGAGAGCAUGCAAGCUGCACUUGUGAAGGUGUCUGACGUGCCAUUAGACCAGCUUGACCCAAACGUCAAGAUUUGGGCUAAUGAAGUCAGGGGGCUGUCCUAUGAUAUUGAGGACAGACUCGACUCCUUCAAGGUGCGCAUGGAGGGUCUUGAUUCAACCAAGCGCAAAACCAUCAUGGGAUUCAUCCAACAAACCCGUGGCUUGGUCACCAAGUUCAAGAUUCGCCAUGUAAUAUUUGAUGACAUUAAAGACUUCGGGAGCCAAGUAAAGGAGGUGAAGGAGCGGUAUGACAGGUACAAGGUGCAUGAUGUUGUAGCUAAUCCUAUCGCAACCACAGUUGACCCUCGUCUCUUGGCUAUGUAUAACAAGGUUUCCGACCUUGUUGGCAUUGACGAAGAAGCUAAGGAGCUAAUGAAUAAUUUGUUUGAAGAUGGUGACGAGCCAGCGAAAAAGAUCAAGACAGUCUCUGUUGUUGGAUUUGGAGGACUCGGCAAGACUACUCUUGUUAAAGCAGUCUAUGACAAGGUUAAGAAGGAGUUUGAUUGCAGUGCUUUUGUAUCAAUAGGUCAGAAAUGUGAUCUCAAGAAAGUUUUCAAGGACGUUCUUUAUGAUCUUGACAAGCAAAAUCAUGAAAAUAUCAUUGCAUCAGAAAUGGAUGAAAAACAACUCAUUGAUAAGCUACAGGAAUUCCUUGCAGACAAGAGGUACUUGGUUGUUAUUGAUGACAUAUGGGAUAUAUCAACAUGGAAGCUGAUUAGAUGUGCUUUGGUGGAAAGUAACCCUGGAAGUAGAAUAAUCAUAACUACUCGCAUUUGUGAAGUUGCCAAAAAGGUUGGUGGUGUUUACAACAAGAAACCACUCUCUCUUGAUGACUCCAAGACAUUAUUCUAUACUAGAGUAUUUGCUGGUGAAAGCAUGAGUCUUGAUAACAUAUCUGGUGAAGUGUGCAACAAAAUCCUAAGAAAAUGUGGUGGUGUGCCAUUGUCCAUCAUUACGAUAGCUAGUCUGCUUGUUGGUAAACAGAGGGAGGACUGGUCUAAGGUGUAUGAUUAUAUUGGUUUUGGGCAUGAAGAUAACGAGGUUAUUGGGAACAUGAGAAAGAUAUUAGCUUUCAGCUAUUACAAUCUACCUCCUUAUCUAAAGACAUGCUUAUUGCACCUAAGCAUAUUUCCAGAAGAUCACAAGAUUGAGAAAAAUUCAUUGAUAUGGAGGUGGAUAGCUGAAGGUUUUGUUAUUGGCAGAGAAGAACUAGGGUUAUUUGAGGUUGGAGAGAGCUAUUUCAAUGAGCUCAUAAAUAGAAGCAUGAUCCGGUGGAUAGAGCUCUCUAGUAGAAGCAAGAUUCGAGAUGGUUGUGGUAUUCAUGAUAUGGUGCUUGAUCUUAUCCGCACUUUGUCAGGUGAAGUAAACUUGGUCACGGUAUCAGAUGUGGAGCAGCAGUGUACCACAUCAUCAUCAUAUUCACCAGUCAGAAGCAUUAGCGCUCGAAGAUUAGCCUUCCACAAAAAAAGAAGCAUUGAACACAACCCUGGCACAGAAAUAGGACAGGUGAGAUCAUUCAAUGCUUUCAACUGCUCUGGUAGUAGGAUGCCCCGACUUUUAAGCUUCAGGGUCUUACGUGUACUAGCUCUGGAGAACUGUAAUUUCUCAGCAGGAAACUGUUGCCUUGGAAAUAUUGGCAAAUUGCAUCAGCUGAGGUACCUAGGGCUAGUGGAGACAUCCAUUCGUGACGACUUGCUGCCUGGAGAAACAGGACGCCUCAAGUUUCUGCAGACACUAGAUGUAAGACGAAGUGGCAUAAAAAUAUUGCCAGCGUCUGUUGGUGAGCUAAGGAAACUGAUGUGCCUGCGUGCUACCGAGGGCACAAGGAUGAUGGCCGAGAUUGGGAAGCUGGCGUCACUGGAAGAGCUUGAGGUACACUCUGUGGACAAGUCGCCAAACUUCGCCACGGGGCUGGGGCAGCUAACCAAGGUGAGGGUGCUUGAGAUCCAUUUCGACGAAAUGGACGAGAGCACAGAGAAGGCUCUCAUGGAGUCCCUGCGCAACCUGCGGAAAAUCCAGAGUCUGCAGAUAUGGUCCAAGAAGGAGAGGACAAUUGACCUUGGCGGCUUGUUGGAAGACUGGACGCCAACCCCUUCAAAUCUCCGUCAACUGAUGCUGCGUGGCAUCCAUUUGCCCAGGCGUCCGUCAUGGAUUGAUCCCUCAUGUGUCCCGCUCCUCUCGUACUUGUCGCUCACGGUCCAGGCCGUGCAAGUGCAGGAUCUAGAAAUCCUCGGGAGGCUGCCGUUGCUCAGCUACCUCUACAUCUGGAGUGAGGGCAUCAACUGCUUAUCCUAUACUGCUACCAGCAGAGACGAGUUUCAGAAUCUGAGAUAUCUGGACACAAACCUGGAGAUCAUGUGUGGACAGCAGGGAGCACUGCCUAUGGUUGAGAAGUUGACAUGCCGUGCCAGCAUGGGGAAGUAUGUUGCCUUCGCCAGGAGCAGCAUGCCUUUCGACGAUGGCAGCGUGGUGAAUCCUGCUGCUGUUGCUGAGGCAGAAUUGCCAGUAAUUCUACCUUUGGACAUUGGCUGGCCCGUGAACAUGCCUUGCCUCCGGGGCAUCACCUAUUUGCUGGACUACCAGGACUGCAGUGCCAAGGAGUGGGCUCAUGUGGAGACAUUGCUCAUGCACGUGAGAAAAAUCCACCCCAACUGUCCACCCUUCCGAAUCAAAAAGAACUGCAGAGACAAGGAGAUUACUAUGAUCGACGCAAUCAUCUACCUUGAAGAUGUCAAGGAUGUGUUCAAGGACAACCCCUCCAAAUACUCGGAGUUUCUUGAUCUCUUGCAAGAUUAUAGGAGAGACAGAAUCAAAAUCAAAGAUUUGAUCAUCCGUCUCAAGACCCUAUUUACUGGACAUGAUCCUAAUCUCAUCCUUGACUUCAGCGUCUUCCUGCCCGGGGAGUGGGCCAUCACUCUCGGGGACCUGUAGAAGAAGCCCCUUCAUGAUCGAUUCUAGCUAGGCCAUCACCCAUUUAGUUAAUAAGACCAAGUCGGGAUGACGGCGAUGGAUCUGAUCAUGUUACCCGCACAAAUGGCGAAGAAGAGGACGAUACUCAUGAAGCGUAAUAUGCAAUCCCUGUCACCAGUGGAUGAUCUUUGCUUCAGUUAAUUCAUCAUCCAAAGAAAAAGAGAGGAAAGGCUGAUAUAAGAACAAAAACAUUUUCCCCUCUUUGUUCCGACCGCUGUGUUCCAUCAUGGAAGUCUUCCUCUAGAAAAAAAGACCUAUAUUUUUUAAAGAACACCUAGUGCCCGGCAAGAAAAUACCUAAAUAAAAUUUGUCGGUAUUUAGUAUUUAUAUAUACUUCUUUGGUAUUUAGUAUUUAUAUAUACUUCUUUGGUAUUUAGUAUUUA